CAGCUCUCCUCCAGCUUGCUAACUGCUGGCUGGGUUACAUAUGAAGAGAUGAUGAGGCAACACCACCCCACCACUGUGGAAAAGCAGCAGACACAAGAGGCUUUUGGCGCCAUCUAGUGACCAAAAAUACGCAAAAUAGGCCUAAGGUGAGUCGGCAAACCGCCUGGUGCCAAGCUGGAGAUCACAGAGCUGCAGUGUGACCCUAAUCUGCAUAAUACCAUUAAGGAUCCCACUAAAUCCCACUGCAUGCUGCCCAGUCCAAACAAAACAGAGAGAGAGCAGCAACAUUCUUCUUCCAGGCAAAAAAAUAUGAUUCAGCAACACGCCAAGCAGGAGGUAUUCAGCAAACCGGAUCGUGUGUAACAAGAUAAAAUGUUUACCACCAAUGAUAAAAAUGCCAUGCUGUAUCCGACGGGUGAGAACAUCAAAGAAGAUAACAAAAACAGCCACGACUCGAAUACACCUGGCCUCCAUAUGUCAGGCACACAUGGACGGGAGUCAUUGGGUCAGCUUACACCGUCCUUACCGACCCAGGAGGCCAUGACGCAGCUGGGCUCUCUGCUGCUUAACCCCCCCCAGGCAUGACUUAGAGAGGCUGGCUGAGGACCAGCCACUGAGACGGCCCCUCAAGCUCACCCCACUGGAGCUGCCAGAGGAGGUGAGAGAGGCUCAGAGGAAAAAACUGCACUUGAUCCAUCUAGACGUGAAACCUGCUGGCUCUAAGCCAGACAUGAUAGUGAAGAAAAAUGUCGCAUGUAAGCCAAUCCCGAUUGUCAGGCAGAAGGUUGUGGAUUUAGCUGAGUGUCCUUCGGUUUCAACGAUGCCGAGACCUCAUCUGAAACACCGUAACCCUAUAAAGAAGAAUUUAGACAAGCAGCUGCAAGACGUCAUGGGUCGAGGGAUUCAGGCUGCUGUCCCUCCUUUACAUUCGGCCAGAAUCAAAGCUGA